rnacentral:misc_RNA from 1 species
CGAGGCUUCAUACAGUAACUUUGCUUAUAAAAUGCCGUCUUGUGUGAUUAAAUAGUGCAAAAACAAUACCAAAGUAAACAAAAAAUCUGAAGGAAUAUCGUUUCACACGUUUCCAACGAAUAUUUUAAUAAGAGGUGAAUGGGUAGCGGCUGUAAGACUGAGAAAAUGACCACGAUUAUGCUGGCCAUGCGCAUAAAGUCACUUUAAUACGAUUAGUGAUUGAAAAAUAUUUGAACAUAAGACUAGAUCAUAUUAGUAAAAUGCAAACAAUGACGAUGACUCUGAGUUCUAAGCGAC